AAUAAUAGCAAGUGAGUGUCCAAUUCUUCAGCAAGUUGCUCAUAUGGGUCUGCUUUCAGGCGAGUUUGCUAUUUAGUAUUUACCUAGUACUGUUUGUUCGUGCUGAUCUAAGGAUAACUUGUCCAUGUUUGUGUAACCAUUUCCUUUGUAUAAUAACUCGUCUGGAAACAUCCUUUCAGAAGCAUCAAAGAAGAAGAAGAAGAAAAAUAAUAGCAAGUGAGUGUCCAAUUCUUCAGCAAGUUGCUCAUAUGGUCUGCUUUCAGGCGAGUUUGCUAUUUAGUAUUUACCUAGUACUGUUUGUUCGAUAAAGCCCUUGACUUUGUAUUCAGGAAGAAGAAGGAACCCCCUCAGCAAAUUGAUCCACCCUCUAUUCCUGUUGCUGACCUAUUCCCUUCUGGAGAGUUUCCAGAGGGUGAAAGCCAAC
rnacentral:lncRNA from 1 species